AUAUCCUGUCAAAAAAAAAAGAAUUUUCUGUCCAACCUUUAUUAAUUUAUUUUUGUCAAUCAGUGUCCCCCCAGGAGACCAAAGCCUUUUAAUG